UGUCCAUUUAUCACUUUUUCUUUUCCUCUUUAAUUGUACUUUAAUUUGUAUUAGUUUGUAUUAGCUAUAUGUAAUUAUGUGUAAUUGUGUGUCUCUCUGGCUUGAUCAGGAUGAAAAAGGUAGCCCAAAAUUUAUAAGCCUUAUGGUUUCUCUUGGGCUCCCUUGCCAGUAUAAUUUAUUUAUUUAUGAAUGUUGUAUUUUUU